GAUGAACGCUGGCGGCGUGCCUAAUACAUGCAAGUCGAGCGAACAGAUGAGGAGCUUGCUCCUCUGACGUUAGCGGCGGACGGGUGAGUAACACGUGGAUAACCUACCUAUAAGACUGGGAUAACUUCGGGAAACCGGAGCUAAUACCGGAUAAUAUAUUGAACCGCAUGGUUCAAUACUGAAAGACGGUUUUGCUGUCACUUAUAGAUGGAUCCGCGCCGCAUUAGCUAGUUGGUAAGGUAACGGCUUACCAAGGCAACGAUGCGUAGCCGACCUGAGAGGGUGAUCGGCCACACUGGAACUGAGACACGGUCCAGACUCCUACGGGAGGCAGCAGUAGGGAAUCUUCCGCAAUGGGCGAAAGCCUGACGGAGCAACGCCGCGUGAGUGAUGAAGGUCUUCGGAUCGUAAAACUCUGUUAUUAGGGAAGAACAAAUGUGUAAGUAACUAUGCACGUCUUGACGGUACCUAAUCAGAAAGCCACGGCUAACUACGUG
rnacentral:rRNA from 1 species